rnacentral:lncRNA from 1 species
CUUUAAUCUACUAAUUCGUUUCUCUCUCUCUCUUAGCUCCUUCCUUUUCUUUUUUACUCCUUACUUCGUAUCACCCGCUAUUUGGAGCAGCACCCAGUUAUCUUUGUCCAAGUUGCUUGCCUCUCUUCCUUAAAAAUAAUUUUUUAAAAAUCUCCCUUCCCCUACAUAUUUUGUAAAGUGUCCUGCUCUAAUGCUCAUAUGCAGUUUUGUGGCUGUACUGUAAUAGCUGCUGCUGCCUCUAAAUAGGGUUACCAGAGAGCAACUGUGAAAAAACGGCACGAGGGGGUAGGGGAUCGGGCGGGGGGGGGGGGGGAAUAGGUGCCUAUAUAAGAAAAAUUCCCAAAAAACAGGACUGUCCCUUUAAAAAUGGGGCAUCUGGUCACCCUAUCUCUAAAUCAUAAACUUUUGGGGCAGGGUACCUGUUUGGUACCCUUCACUUAUGUUACAGAGCUGUGUUUCUGUUUUGUUUAAAUAUAUGUAUGUGUGUGUGUGUUUGUUUAUAAACAUAAAGCUAAAAGUACAAUUUUUAUGCCUAUCUUUAUAGCUAAAUCUUUCAGACCAUGUUUUUGUUUGUUGUUCGUUUGUUUUUGCUAGGUGCCUGUGGUGUCACACCAAGGUUAAAAUCUGCUGCCUUAAGUGCGGAAGAUGCAACGAAGAAUUACUUUCCUCCUGGGACCACUGUGAGUUAUGUCUGUCGUCCAGGAUAUGAGAGCACCGAACUGAGACCUGUCAUUACUUGUCUUGAGAAUUCAACAUGGUCAGAAGCCACUGAGUUCUGUCGAGCAGGUCUCUUCUGUUUGGCAUGUGGACAUGGUGAGUGUCUGAUGGUGUGUGCUGUCUGGUAAUAAGUGCCUGGCACCAGAGGAACCAUCACAAAUAAUUCCCUGUACCAGGUAGGAGGAGUCUCUGCCAUUGAAGUUGACAAAGUGAUAGAAUUUAACACUUAAUAUGGACAUAAGAAUAUCCACAGUUAAAUAGGAAAAAAACCCCAGAGAGGAGAGUGAACUAACUGCACUGCUAGUCUGCCAUUGCCAUAGUCCAGGGAUGGCCAAAUGUACUGACGCUUUGAGCCGCAUACAACAAUCAAGAGCCGGAGCAGCAGGCACCUGCUGGGGCUCAGGGCUUCAGCCCCACUCCUGCUAAAGCCCUGAGACCCGCCACCCUGCUGGGCAGAAGCCCACCAGCCUGGUCCAAGACUGAGGUCCCAAGAUUUCUCCCCACCCCACCGCAAGUCUGGUAGGGGGGCUCCGUGAGCUGCACUUUCACUCUAAAAGAGCCACAUGUGGCUCGCGAGCCACAGUU